UACGAGGGGGGCGAGCGUUGUUCGGAAUUAUUGGGCGUAAAGGGUGCGUAGGCGGUUUUGUAAGUCUUAUGUGAAAUCUAUGGGCUCAACUCAUAGACUGCAUGAGAAACUGCAGGGCUUGAGUAUGGGAGAGGUGAGUGGAAUUCCUGGUGUAGCGGUGAAAUGCGUAGAGAUCGGGAGGAACACCGGUGGCGAAGGCGGGUCUCUGGGCAUCUCCUGACGCUGAGGCGCGAAAGCGUGGGGAGCAAACGGG
rnacentral:rRNA from 1 species